GUCCUAACUCUGUCUUGAAUAUGUACCCAGCAGGCACCUAGGACUCGUAUCUCCCUCUGAGAAUCUCUUCUAAUGCGCUCAGCAGCAGAAAUUCUCCAUCCUAGAUGAGCCUGCAAAGUUCUGUAGAAGUUAAAUAUACUUUAGUCAAAUGAGAGACUAACCUGCUGUCAGGCAGGGGAAGCUUGAACAAGGCCUUCAUUCAUGACAGCUCCACUUGGCUUUUUGACAAGUCCCCAUUUAGAUGCAGCACGUCAGAGACUGAAGAGCAGGAUGAAGGCUAAAUUCUCUCAAGAAAGAAGUUGCCUCUUACCAUGUCACAAGCAAUUAGUUUUACCCAAAAAGGAGGAGGACCCCUCUCUGCUCCCCGUGUUAAAAAACAAUACACCGCCUCACAGGCCAGAGCCACAGCCUUCUCUCUGCUGGGUGGAAGAACAACUCUCACACAGUGGAAGUCCUCCAGACCCCCUGCCUUCAGACAAUAGGUUCCCUGGUUUUGGUCUACAUUCCUCGGUCCUCUGCUGUGGAGUCUACCUUCUGCUUCACCUCAUUCUGGAGUCGCCCAUCCAGUCAGCGGCCCAUGUCCCCCUGGUUCCCUGUUUCCAGAGGUUGGUCUGCUAGUCUCCGGGGCCAGGGGGCAGAAAUCUGCCAUGUUGGAUGGGCGGCCCAGGUUGGGGUGCUCCAUCAUAGACUGGUACAUGAAGGAUUAUAAAUGGUUUUUAACCAGUAUGUACCGAGUGUGCGUCGUGACGAAAAGAAUGUCAUGGGAACAUUUAGGACUGACUGCAGUACUGGUUCAAAGCAUGAUUGUGUUUUUCUUAAUUUUUAUUGAUUUAUUUUUGCAUUAUUAUUUUUUUUUAAGUAACUUGAUUCAGU